GACAUCCAGAGAACUUUGGGCAGAGAUGCCUCGGUGCCUUCGGGAACUCUGAGACAGGUGCUGCAUGGCUGUCGUCAGCUCGUGUUGUGAAAUGUUGGGUUAAGUCCGCAACGAGCGCAACCCCUAUCCUUUGUUGCCAGCGAUUCGGUCGGGAACUCAAAGGAGACUGCCGGUGAUAAACCGGAGGAAGGUGGGGAUGACGUCAAGUCAUCAUGGCCCUUACGAGUAGGGCUACACACGUGCUACAAUGGCGUAUACAAAGAGAAGCGACCUCGCGAGAGCAAGCGGACCUCAUAAAGUACGUCGUAGUCCGGAUUGGAGUCUGCAACUCGACUCCAUGAAGUCGGAAUCGCUAGUAAUCGUAGAUCAGAAUGCUACGGUGAAUACGUUCCCGGGCCUUGUACACACCGCCCGUCACACCAUGGGAGUGGGUUGCAAAAGAAGUAGAUAGCUUAACCUUCGGGAGGGCGUUUACCACUUUGUGAUUCAUGACUGGGGUGAAGUCGUAACAAGGUAAGCGUAGCGAG
rnacentral:rRNA from 1 species